AGUAAAGUACAAUACAAAAUGCCCCCCAAAGGUGUCCAUAGCCUUUAAAAGGGUUUUCCCGAUUUUAUGUAAAUAAGGAUUGUAUAAGAUUUGACAAAGGGUCUAUUAUUUUUCCAGAAACAGCACCACUGUUCUCCAUGGGCAGUGCUUGGUAUGGAGGCUCAGCCUCACUCACUUGACUGGGGAUGAGCAGCAAUACCAGCCUCAGCCACUGGACAAGAGCGGUGCCGUUUCUAGAGGGGUUAAAAAAAAAAAUAUAUACCCUUUGUCUCAUCUUACACAACUCUUUUAAAGCACUGCAAUCUGCCACAGAUCUCUGACAGCUGUCAGUAAAUGUUAAGGUGCACAGCUCAUUAGAAAAGAGCUCUGCAGCUGUGCCAGUUGGACUUGAUCAGGGCAGGAGUUCUGAUGUAAAAUACGUUUCCAUACAAUGACAGCAAGCAAAGAUAUGAGGAAAGGUUGCAAAACUUUUCAUAGCACAAUGAAUAUACUUUAGUGGAAAAAAAAUAAAAUAAACUUAAAGGGGUUUUCUGGGGGGCUCUCGGCACAUGUCCUGCCAUCAACACACAGAGGGAAGCAUACUUCCCUACCAGCUUCGCUCUCCCACCGCUAUGACGCAAGGGGAGCAGGUCACUGCUGCAGCCAGUCAUUGCCUGCAGAGGUGUCAAACAAGAUCUGCGACUAAUCAUUGUGAAUGUGGUUGCAGUGAGAUCCAGCAGGUUUGUAUCUCUGCCCACUACUGUAAACGCAAUAAACUGCGGGUAGCAACGCAACAACAUUCACCGUUCGCUGCGACAAAACAGGACAAGAUGGCGAUCUUAUGUUGUGCGGUCACGAUUCACCGUGUAGCCCUAGCCUUAAAAGGGAUUUCCCAAGAUUUAAACAUAUCCCCUAUUCACAGGAUAGGUGCUAAGUGUCUGAUCGUGGGGGGCAACUUCUCGGACCAGCACUGACCUUGAUAAUGAUGGUCCUCCUUCCCGCCUCCAUAUGAAUGGUACAAUGGUUAGGCAGGCGCAAUGCUGCUCCAUUCAUCUGUAUGGGACUGACCGAGAUACCUGAGGGCUAUGCUCUGCUUCUCUUCUACACCUAUAGAGAUGGAUGGAGCGGCAGCGUCCAUGCUCGACCACCGCUCCAUUCAUAGGUGGGAUCUCGUGAUCCGUCCUGUGGAUAGGUAAUACGUUCAAAUCCUGGAACAUCCCCUUUAAUCUUCAGUUCAGUCUUUUUUAUUUUCCUUUUUAUUGUGACCCAAUCAAAGGGGUAGGUCCAGGAUUAUGCCGAUUUCUAGAAGAUAGCAGACAUGUUUUUCUAAUCCUGGACAACCCCUUAAGGUUUUACACCGUGGAAUAAAAUAUUUGUGCAAAGUAGCCGAGAUUUGUUUUUUUUCCUUUUUUAUUUCCCUGCAGUUUUUACUCAUCAAGAACAAGUAACAGGGAAAACUGUCUGAACUAGUGCGACGACGAACAAUCUGAUAGAGAGGAGAACUACACAUCUCAUGUACAGGAAAAUGGUAUAAAAAAUACAAAAAAGGUCAAAUAAAAAAAUGUAUAAAAAAAAUAACCACUAAACAUUAGCAAAAUGUCCAACAGCUAAGAUUCAGACUAUUUCAGACCCGUUACUUGCCUUGUUAUUACAGGGAACCUCCCAGCAUGACCCCCUCCAGGGACGGCUCAAUAGGGAACCUCGGAUUAUUGCAAUUCUAUGUAAUGCAAUACACCCCCCCC